GACGAACGCUGGCGGCGUGCUUAACACAUGCAAGUCGAACGGAAAGGCCCUGCUUGCAGGGUACUCGAGUGGCGAACGGGUGAGUAACACGUGGGUGAUCUGCCCUGCACUUCGGGAUAAGCUUGGGAAACUGGGUCUAAUACCGGAUAGGAGCCAUCUUUAGUGUGGUGGUUGGAAAGUUUUUUCGGUGUAGGAUGAGGUCGCGGCCUAUCAGCUUGUUGGUGGGGUAAUGGCCUACCAAGGCGGCGACGGGUAGCCGGCCUGAGAGGGUGUACGGCCACAUUGGGACUGAGAUACGGCCCAGACUCCUACGGGAGGGAGCAGUGGGGAAUAUUGCACAAUGGGCGCAAGCCUGAUGCAGCGACGCCGCGUGGGGGAUGAAGGCCUUCGGGUUGUAAACUCCUUUCGCUAGGGACGAAGCUUUGUUGUGACGGUACCUAGAUAAGAAGCACCGGCUAACUACGUG
rnacentral:rRNA from 1 species